UGAAAUUUUCAUUUUGUUUUCUUUAAAUUUUAAUUUCCCUUGUACUGUUGAUAUAUGCCUGUCAAAUUUCGAAACUCUGUCAAGACAAUAUGCUGUCAUAUUAUAAGUUGAUGUUCUCGCUAUAAUGGUAUCUUGAUUAUAUGCAAGUUAAGAACCCUUAUUAAGGGGAUUUCUCAAAAAAAUCCUAUUACAUUGAGAAAUAUUUUGAAGUAAAAGACUAUAAUUUCAUCUCUUAAAAUAUGACAAAAUUCUCCUUGCUGUUGAGAAGUUCCUUUUGUUGGCAUUUCAAUCUAUGUUGGACUUAGGCAAUUGUUUCUUGUCCAUUUCUACUUGUAAAAUUCUCAUUGGCAAUUAAGUUGUUGCCAGUUUAACAGUGAAAAAGCAUCCGGUGAGAUUAGAUAGUCUCAAAACUUUGCAAUUUGCAUUGCCACUUGAGACUUUCCACAGAGGGUGAGGAUCUUUGCAGAAGCCUGUAUAGUGAGGUUUCUUGAGAAGUUAACUAAUUAAGAUUUGUCAAAUGACUCGUCACUUUCAAAAUUAAAAGAGAGAGGUAAGCACAUUUCACUUUCUGGAUGAAGUGCGAAUACAUAUGUAGAUAUAUAUGAAUAUACUAUAUAUAUAUAUAUAUGUAUGUAUCAGAUAUCAUGCAAACAUAUAUAUAUAUAUAUAUGUAUCAGAUAUCAUGCAAACCCUUUUUGUUGGGAAUUAAUGGAUGUUCAACAGUCUCAAAACCAGUGUUAAAACAAUCAAAAAACCAGAUGCCCAUUAAAAAAAAUUAUGUAUCCACGUGUUUUUUGGUAGCUCUUCUCUAACAAAGAAAUGUUGUAUUGGCUUUCCAACCCCUGUCUGAAGUUGCCAGUUUUAAUUAGCUCCUAUGUAUUGCAUUCACUGAUAUGUAAUAUCAUGA